AUUGAACGCUGGCGGCAGGCCUAACACAUGCAAGUCGAACGAGUGGCGGACGGGUGAGUAAUGUCUGGGAAACUGCCUGAUGGAGGGGGAUAACUACUGGAAACGGGAGCUAAUACCGCAUACCAUCAGAUGUGCCCAGGUGGGAGUAGCUAGUAGGUGGGGUAAUGGUUCACCUAGGCGACGAUCCCUAGCUGGUCUGCGAGGAUGACAGGGUACACGGGAACUGAGGCACGGUCCAAAGUCCCACGGGAGGCAGCAGUGGGGAAGAUUGCACUAUGGGAGCAUGCCUGAUGGAGCCAUGCCGCGUCGGUGAGUAAGGCCUUAGGGUUGUAAAGCACUUUAAGCGAGGAGGCGGUACUCGCAGAAGAAGCACCGGCUAACUCCGUGCCAGCAGCCGCGGUAAUUC
rnacentral:rRNA from 1 species